rnacentral:sRNA from 2 species
ACGGGCCAGGCGUAUAGUCCGGUUUCUCCGCGCCGAUCCUAUCCACCUGACCGCUGCACGCCGCGUUUUGUUAGCU